GCCUCCAAGCUGGCAGGAGGGCCCGUGGUGUAAUGGGAGCACGCGGGUUCGAAUCCCGUCGGGUCCA
rnacentral:tRNA from 1 species